UUUCCGUAGGUGAACCUGCGGAAGGAUCAUUACCGAAUUGUCAAACGGGUUGUUGCUGGUCUUCAAACCGGGACAUGUGCACGCUCUGUUUACACAUCCACUCACACCUGUGCACCCUCCGUAGUUCUAUGGUCUGGGGGACCCUGUCUUCCUGGCGUGGUUCUACGUCUUUACACACACUCUGUAAUAAAGUCUUAUGGAAUGUAUGCCGCGUCUAACGCAAUACAAUACAACUUUCAGCAACGGAUCUCUUGGCUCUC
rnacentral:misc_RNA from 1 species